CCUACGGGUGGCAGCAGUGAGGAAUAUUGGUCAAUGGCCGCAGGGCUGAACCAGCCAAGUCGCGUGAGGGAUGACGGUCCUAUGGAUUGUAAACCUCUUUUGUCAGGGAGCAAAGGGCGCCACGUGUGGCGCUUUGCGAGUACCUGAAGAAAAAGCAUCGGCUAACUCCGUGCCAGCAGCCGCGGUAAUACGGAGGAUGCGAGCGUUAUCCGGAUUUAUUGGGUUUAAAGGGUGCGCAGGCGGAAUGUCAAGUCAGCGGUAAAAUUUCGGGGCUCAACCCCGUCGUGCCGUUGAAACUGGCGUUCUGGAGGGGGCGAGAAGUAUGCGGAAGGCGUGGGGUAGCGGGGAAAUGCAUAGAUAUCACGCAGAACUCCGAUUGCGAAGGCAGCAUACCGGCGCCCGACUGACGCUGAGGCACGAAAGCGUGGGGAUCGAACAGGAUUAGAUACCCGGGUAGUC
rnacentral:rRNA from 1 species